GUUUCAGCAGUACUAAAGUGCUUAUAGUGCAGGUAGUGUUUUUCUCCUAUCUACUGCAAUAUAAGCACUUGAAGUACUUCUAACUUGCUGCAUCUUUCCGCAAGCUUU
rnacentral:miRNA from 1 species